rnacentral:rRNA from 1 species
GUACACUCCUGCGGGAGGCAGCAGUGGGGAAUUUUGGACAAUGGGCGAAAGCCUGAUCCAGCCAUGCCGCGUGCAGGAUGAAGGCCUUCGGGUUGUAAACUGCUUUUGUACGGAACGAAACGGCCUUUUCUAAUAAAGAGGGCUAAUGACGGUACCGUAAGAAUAAGCACCGGCUAACUACGUGCCAGCAGCCGCGGUAAUACGUAGGGUGCAAGCGUUAAUCGGAAUUACUGGGCGUAAAGCGUGCGCAGGCGGUUAUGUAAGACAGUUGUGAAAUCCCCGGGCUCAACCUGGGAACUGCAUCUGUGACUGCAUAGCUAGAGUACAGUAGAGGGGGAUGGAAUUCCGCGUGCAGCAGUGAAAUGCGUAGAUAUGCGGAGGAACACCGAUGGCGAAGGCAAUCCCCUGGACCUGUACUGACGCUCAUGCACGAAAGCGUGGGGAGCAAACAGGAUUAGAAACCCGUGUAGUCCC